GCUUAACACAUGCAAGUCGAGCGAGAGUCGUUUUGCUGAAGGCUUCGGUCCGAUGCAGAAUGAGGAAAGCGGCGAACGGGUGAGUAACGCGUGGGCAACCUGGCCUUAAGAAAAGGAUAGCCCCCGGAAACGGGGAGUAAUACUUUAUGAGAAUAGAAAAGGGCAUCCUGUUUCUAUUCAAAGACCAAGCGUUUAAGGAUGGGCCCGCGUAUCAUUAGCUAGUUGGGGAGAUAACAGCCCACCAAGGCAACGAUGAUUAGCCGGUCUGAGAGGGCGAACGGCCACAUUGGAACUGAGAGACGGUCCAAACUCCUACGGGAGGCAGCAGUGGGGAAUAUUGCGCAAUGGAGAAGAACUCUGACGCAGCAAUACCGCGUGAGCGAAGAAGGUCUUCGGAUCGUAAAGCUCUGUUAUCAGGGAAGAAGAAAAUGACGGUACCUGAUGAGCAAGUCCCGGCUAACUACGUGCCAGCAGCCGCCGUAA
rnacentral:rRNA from 1 species